rnacentral:lncRNA from 1 species
CAGAAUAAAAUAUUUUAUUGUAUUCCAUACAUUCACAGAUCACUUCCAGAUUUAGUAACAACACUGCAAUGCUAUGAUGCUCAAACCACAGUGUAAGUUGGUAGCUCUCUCCUGCUCUCUUGGCCUCUAGAUGUAUCACAAUACAACUACUAACUGUGGCAACCAAUGCCUAUUUCAUUGGAUUAUUUUCUGACUGGAGCCUGGGUUCAUCGCUUUAAUUCUGGGAAGAAUUUUAAAGUACCUUCCCUUACAUUAUAAGAGAUAACCAAACACUUUAGUGUGAGGGCUGCUUCACACACAGUUUUUAUCUAUCACUAUCAUGACUGCUCUUCCUUACAUACACGUCCUGUACAGACCAGCUACAUACGGCAUGGUCCUGAGACCACAGCUUUUGUUUCUUUGGCCAGAAUGCACCCCUCACCUUCAGUGCCCGCCUUAGAAACGCAGGUACUUGGUUCUCGUGCAUGGUUGACACAAGUUCAUCUGCCCCAUGGUAAAAGCUCUUCAAAACCUUUGAAUGACUUGUGGGGAGCAGGGUCACAAUUUGUUGCAUGUGACCUACCUCAGCCUCAAAAGAUAAGAGAUCAUGAGCCUCCACUGCCCCUGGGCUCAGGGAACUUGAUCCACAUUGCUAGGGCUCUGCCUGUUAGGUUAUGGGUGCUCACCUGACUCUCUGAAGCAGAGGGAGGCUGACACAGAUUAGCUUUUAUUGAAAUUGUUAAAGUGCAACAUUGUGUUUUCACUCUAUCAGGCACUGAAAAGCAAGAAGCUUUUAAUGUCUUCUUUUCUAUAAUGAAAUAUAUUUUCUUUACUCUUAUUUGUAUCUGUAAUACACCUGCAAUUAUAAGCAGCAGUUAAACAUAAAACAAACAAAGAACAGAGCAGAAGGCACAGUCUAAAGAGUGGGUAUCAGAAGAAUUUUACCAUUUACGCUCAGGAAUACUAAACCAAACCCAAUCAGACCAAACUCCAAAGCCCAUUUUGUUUACAAAUCUGCCUCUUCUGUGCGAUAGCAAGUCAGUCCUUUAAAGCAGAAACCCCAUUUACUAAUCCUAUAUCCCAAGUAAGCAGGCCUGUAUUAGAACCAAAUAGCCGUCCUCUUACAUCAGAAAAUCUAAGUGAUCUGAAAGACAAUUCAUCACAAGUGUUUCCAAUUUUCUUCCGAGACCAUCACCAAUCCCACUAAUGCAAACUCAGAACAUUACUUCAGUCAAGUUUAGCUAAAUGCUAUAGCUUCUUUGAAAUAAAAAUUGGCCAGAAAAAUACCUAGAAAAGAUUUUUUUUUUUCAUUGUGGAUUCCAGGAGACUUUUAAGACAUUAUGGAAUUCUCAGUGAUUAUAUUCAAAUGGCAGAGUCACAUUUGCUGACAGUAUUUUCUAAUUUUAUCUUUCUUAUAAGAAAAAAAGGGUAAAAAUCGGAUCUGAAAUACAGGAUUCCCCAAAGUUAGAUAAUAACACAUCUUUUCAUUUCUCUUAUGAGAACUUUACGGUAAAUAUACCUUUAUCGUAGAAAUGAGAUAUCCAAUACACAUUACAAAAUGUUAUAUUUAAAGAUGACAAAUCUAUUCUUAACCCAGAUUCUUCAUCCACAGAAGUUUAAUGACUAAAAUAACACAACAGAAUGAACAAAUGUUUUAUUGGCAUGUUCAUUGUUGUAAACAGCAUCUGGCAUGAAAAAGUUUUACCAAAACCUUUUUUUACUGAUUUUUAUAAAUUAGAUGGUAUUUCAAAAUUUAUGUAGAAUUGUGUUCAUUGAAUACUUUUAUUUAGCAAAGCAAAAACUUGCUGAUACUAAUAGACUCUGCAAUGAAAUCAUGUUGACUGCAUCAGUCUGUACCAUGACCUGACCUCACUAGCAAGUUUAUUCAAAACAAUGUUAAGACGUUUCCCAAAAGUUAAACUACAUGUAACUACAAAUUGACUCUAAAAAUUAAAACUGGACUUACAAGCAUUCUAGAAGAUUCAAACUUGAAGUAAAUCUUCAAAACUAGAUGUACAAAGAGAAAAACUUUGAAGCCGCUGAACAGAGAAACCUCAUUAAC